rfam:Nicotiana attenuata strain TT scaffold03189, whole genome shotgun sequence.
UGAGAUGAUGAUUGCACUGGGCUCUGAGCAGUUUUAAGAAACUGCAUUAAAUUGAUGCAUAAAUGCAGCCUAGAAAACUACGUCUGAUCA